rnacentral:rRNA from 1 species
ACGCUGGCGGCGUGCUUAACACAUGCAAGUCGAACGGAAAGGCCCUGCUUUUGUGGGGUGCUCGAGUGGCGAACGGGUGAGUAACACGUGAGUAACCUGCCCUUGACUUUGGGAUAACUUCAGGAAACUGGGGCUAAUACCGGAUAGGAGCUCCUGCUGCAUGGUGGGGGUUGGAAAGUUUCGGCGGUUGGGGAUGGACUCGCGGCUUAUCAGCUUGUUGGUGGGGUAGUGGCUUACCAAGGCUUUGACGGGCAGCCGGCCUGAGAGGGUGACCGGCCACAUUGGGACUGAGAUACGGCCCAUACUCCUACGGGAGGCAGCAGUGGGGAAUAUUGCACAAUGGGCGGAAGCCUGAUGCAGCAACGCCGCGUGCGGGAUGACGGCCUUCGGGUUGUAAACCGCUUUCGCCUGUGACGAAGCGUGAGUGACGGUAAUGGGUAAAGAAGCACCCGGCUAACUACGUGCCAGCAGCCGCGGUGAUACGCAGGGUGCGAGCGUUGUCCGGAUUUAUUGGGCGUAAAGGGCUCGCAAGUGGUUGAUCGCGUCGGAAGUGUAAUCUUGGGGCUUAACCCUGAGCGUGCUUUCCAUACGGGUUGACUUGAGGAAGGGUAGGGGAGAAUGGAAUUCCUGGUGGGAGCGGUGGAAUGGGCAGAUUUCGGGAAGGAAACACCAGUGGCGAAGGGCGGUUCUUCUGGGCCUUUCCUGACGCGAGGGAGCGAAAGCGUGGGGAGCGAACAGGCUUAGAUACCCUGGGUAGUCCACGCCGUAAACGGUGGGUACUAGGUGUGGGGUCCAUUCCACGGGUUCCGUGCUGUAGCUAACGCUUUAAGUACCCCGCAUGGGGAGUACGGCCGCAAGGCUAAAACUCAAAGGAAUUGACGGGGCCCCGCACAAGCGGCGGAGCAUGCGGAUUAAUUCGAUGCAACGCGUAGAACCUUACCUGGGUUUGACAUGGAUCGGGAGUGCUCAGAGAUGGGUGUGCCUCUUUUGGGGUCGGUUCACAGGUGGUGCAUGGCUGUCGUCAGCUCGUGUCGUGAGAUGUUGGGUUAAGUCCCGCAACGAGCGCAACCCUUGUUCACUGUUGCCAGCACGUUAUGGUGGGGACUCAGUGGAGACCGCCGGGGUCAACUCGGAGGAAGGUGGGGAUGACGUCAAGUCAUCAUGCCCCUUAUGUCCAGGGCUUCACGCAUGCUACAAUGGCUGGUACAGAGAGUGGCGAGCCUGUGAGGGUGAGCGAAUCUCGGAAAGCCGGUCUCAGUUCGGAUUGGGGUCUGCAACUCGACCUCAUGAAGUCGGAGUCGCUAGUAAUCGCAGAUCAGCAACGCUGCGGUGAAUACGUUCCCGGGGCUUGUACACACCGCCCGUCAAGUCAUGAAAGUUGGUAACACCCGAAGCCGGUGGCCUAACCGUUGUGGGGGAGCCGUCGAAGGUGGGACUGGUGAUUAGG